CCUACGGGGGGCAGCAGUAGGGAAUAUUGCUCAAUGGGGGAAACCCUGAAGCAGCAACGCCGCGUGAAGGAUGAAGGUUUUCGGAUUGUAAACUCCUUUUGUUAGAGAAGAUAAUGACGGUAUCUAACGAAUAAGCACCGGCUAACUCCGUGCCAGCAGCCGCGGUAAUACGGAGGGUGCAAGCGUUACUCGGAAUCACUGGGCGGAAAGAGCGCGUAGGCGGGAUAGCAAGUCAGAUGUGAAAUCCUAUGGCUUAACCAUAGAACUGCAUUUGAAACUGUUAUUCUAGAGUAUGGGAGAGGUAGGUGGAAUUCUUGGUGUAGGGGUAAAAUCCGUAGAGAUCAAGAGGAAUACUCAUUGCGAAGGCGACCUGCUAGAACAUAACUGACGCUGAUGCGCGAAAGCGUGGGGAGCAAACAGGAUUAGAUACCCUAGUAGUC
rnacentral:rRNA from 1 species